rnacentral:rRNA from 1 species
GACGAACGCUGGCGGCGUGCCUAAUACAUGCAAGUCGAACGCAGUGGGGACGGGUGAGUAACACGUGGGUAACCUCCCAUCAGAGGGGAUAACACUUGGAAACAGGUGCUAAACCGAUACUGAUGGAUGGACCCGCGGUGCAUUAGCUAGUUGGUGAGGUAACGGCUCACCAAGGCCACGAUGCUUAGCCGCCCUGGGGGGUGGUACGGCCACACUGGAACUGGGAAACGGCCACGACUCCUACGUGAGGCAGCAGGGGGGAAUCUUCGGCAAUGGACGAAAGGUUGAACGAGCAACGCCGGGUUGGGGAAGAAGGUUUUCGGAUCGUAAAACUCUUUUGUUAGAGAAGCGGUAUCUAACCAGAAAGCCACGGCUAACUACGUGCCAGAGCCGCGGUAAUUC